UACGUAGGGUGCGAGCGUUGUCCGGAAUUAUUGGGCGUAAAGAGCUUGUAGGUGGUUUGUCGCGUCUGCUGUGAAAAUCCGAGGCUCAACCUCGGACUUGCAGUGGGUACGGGCAGACUAGAGUGUGGUAGGGGAGACUGGAAUUCCUGGUGUAGCGGUGGAAUGCGCAGAUAUCAGGAGGAACACCGAGUGGCGAAGGCAG
rnacentral:rRNA from 1 species